rnacentral:rRNA from 1 species
CCUACCUGGUUGAUCCUGCCAGUAGUGAUAUGCUUGUCUCAAAGAUUAAGCCGUGCAUGUCUGAGUUCGCACCCACGCACGGGCAAACCGCGAAUGGCUCAGUACUACAGUCCGAGUUCCCUAGGCGAGACGGCCCCCCUCCUGGGCGGGCGACGACGGAUAACUGUGGCAAAUCCAGAGCUAAUACGUGCGAGCGAGCCCCGACCCGCGUCUCGGCGCGGGGAAGGGCGCUUUUAUUGGCGCAAGACCGGUGCCGGCGCGUUCCUCGCCCGGCUUUUCUUCAGGCGAUCUCUGGAUAACUAGCACGACCGCUACGUCCCUCGGCGGACGGCGGCGCGCCUUUCAAGCGUCUGUC